GAUGAACGCUGGCGGCGCGCCUAAUACAUGCCAGUCGAGCGAACAGACGAGGAGCUUGCUCCUCUGACGUUAGCGGCGGACGGGUGAGUAACACGUGGAUAACCUACCUAUAAGACUGGGAUAACUUCGGGAAACCGGAGCUAAUACCGGAUAAUAUAUUGAACCGCAUGGUUCAAUAGUGAAAGACGGUUUUGCUGUCACUUAUAGAUGGAUCCGCGCCGCAUUAGCUAGUUGGUAAGGUAACGGCUUACCAAGGCAACGAUGCGUAGCCGACCUGAGAGGGUGAUCGGCCACACUGGAACUGAGACACGGUCCAGACUCCUACGGGAGGCAGCAGUAGGGAAUCUUCCGCAAUGGGCGAAAGCCUGACGGAGCAACGCCGCGUGAGUGAUGAAGGUCUUCGGAUCGUAAAACUCUGUUAUUAGGGAAGAACAAAUGUGUAAGUAACUAUGCACGUCUUGACGGUACCUAAUCAGAAAGCCACGGCUAACUACGUG
rnacentral:rRNA from 1 species